GGGGUCGGUCUCCUUCUUCAGCAUCUGGUUCUUCUUCUCCGGUGAGGGCAGGUGUGACUAAGGUUAGGGUUCUCUGAGACGCGAUAUUUAAAUACCCAUUCUGCAUUGAUCUAGGUCGUCCGUUCAUGCUGACAUGGAGCGAGAAGAGUCGUCUGAUCGUUGCCUGUUUAGACCGAUUGCAUGGUCGAAUCUAGAUCGUUCAUCGUGAU
rnacentral:lncRNA from 1 species